AAUACGUACGUAACUUUCCUUAUGCUGAGGGAUAGCCUGAGGAAACUUGGAUUAAUACCUCAUAAUACAAUUUUUUAGAAAGAAAGAUUGUUAAAGUUUUAUUAUGGCAUAAGAUAGGCGUAUGCCCAAUUAGUUAGUUGGUAAGGUAAUGGCUUACCAAGACUAUGAUUGGUAGGGGGCCUGAGAGGGGCGUUCCCCCACAUUGGUACUGAGACACGGACCAAACUCCUACGGGAGGCAGCAGUGAGGAAUAUUGGUCAAUGGAGGAAACUCUGAACCAGCCACUCCGCGUGCAGGAUGAAAGCCUUAUUGGUUGUAAACUGCUUUUGUAUAUGAAUAAAAAAUUCUAAUUAUAGAAAUAAUUGAAGGUAAUAUACGAAUAAGUAUCAGCAAACUACGUGCCAGCAGCUGCGGUAAUACGUAGGAUACAAGCGUUAUCCGGAUUUAUUGGGUUUAAAGGGUGCGUAGGCGGUUUUUUAAGUCAGUAGUGAAAUCUUAAAGCUUAACUUUAAAAUUGCUAUUGAUACUGAAAAACUAGAGUUAGUUUGGAGUAGCUGGAAUGUGUGGUGUAGCGGUGAAAUGCGUAGAUAUCACACAGAACACCAAUAGCGAAAGCAAGUUACUAAGCCUAUACUGACGCUGAGGGCACGAAAGCAUGGGGAGCAAACAGGAUUAGAUACCCUGGUAGUCCAUGCUGUAAACGAUGAUCACUAACUAUUGGGUUUUGUACUUUUGUACGUUGUAAUUCAGUGGUGAAGCGAAAGUGUUAAGUGAUCCACCUGAGGAGUACGACCGCAAGGUUGAAACUCAAAGGAAUUGACGGGGGCUCGCACAAUCGGUGGAGCAUGUGGUUUAAUUCGAUGAUACGCGAGGAACCUUACCAAGACUUAAAUGUACUACGAAUAAAUUGGAAACAAUUUAGUCUAGCGACGGAGUACAAGGUGCUGCAUGGUUGUCGUCAGCUCGUGCCGUGAGGUGUAAGGUUAAGUCCUUAAACGAGCGCAACCCUUAUUAUUAGUUGCCAUCGAGUAGUGUCGGGGACUCUAAUAAGACUGCCGGCGUAAGCCGAGAGGAAGGCGGGGACGACGUCAAAUCAUCACGGCCCUUACGUCUUGGGCCACACACGUGCUACAAUGAUCGGUACAAAAGGGAGCGACUGGGUGACCAGGAGCAAAUCUAGAAAGCCGAUCUCAGUUCGGAUUGGAGUCUGAAACUCGACUCGUGCCAACAGCCGC
rnacentral:rRNA from 1 species